UUUAACUACAGAAUUUUAGUUUUAUUUAAAUAAACCUCAAUAUUUAUUUAACACUCGUUUAAUUCAAUAUAAAGCUUUAUUGGUUUGAUGUUGACCUGACAUAAAUAUAAAUAAAUUUAAAGCGUUAUUGCUUUGAUGUAAACCUGACAUACAUAUUUUUCAAAAUAUGUCAAAAAAGACAUUUGUCAAACAUGUCAUACAAGGAAUACAGUUCACUCUCAGCUCUCAAUUGCUGAAAAAUUAUCUUAUUCUCCAAACAAAAUUCUACGAGCACACUGCUCAAUUUGAAUAACUCUCUAAAGUACAGCCAUUUUUGCAACGACCUUUUUUACAUUUUUUUUAAAUUUCAUUGAAUGAAAGCAAAAAAUAGCAUCAAAUUUUAGAAUAAGUUUAGAUUUCUUCGAAUUGGUCAACUUUGGCUCGAAUUAUGGCCUUCAAACGGCCAAUGAAACUGUCACCCGCUGCCCGAAUGUUGCUCUGCGGUAUUUUGGCACAUUCCCGGCGAGGCGCUUGCUUGAGGUGAUCAACACUUUGGUAUUUUAGUGCCAUCCUUGCUUUCCAAAAUACUCCAGACACAAUAGUCCAACGGAUUGGUAUCCGGAGAUUUUGGUAGCCAUUGUGCGCUCGAAAUGAAGCGAGGAACCUCAUUUUGUAACCAUGCUUGGGUGGUGCGUGCUGAGUGUGAUGGUGCGGAGUGCGAUAAUGCUGAGUCCUGUUGGAAUGUCUAAGGACUGCGGCCAAAAUGUUUGCGUGCUCCAGAAUAUUUUCGCGAUAAUAUUCGGCAUUUGCGAUAAUGCUGAGUCCUGUUGGAAUGUCUAAGGACUGCGGCCAAAAUGUUUGCGUGCUCCAUAAUAUUUUCGCGAUAAUAUUCGUCAUUUAUUCUGAUGCCACGUUCGAUUAAUAGAGAGCGACCAUCGGCUGUUAUGGCGGCCCACACCAUCACCAUGGCCCGAGUCUUGGUGGCCAACCGAAGGUGUACAUAGUCAAUUGAACUCUUUGGCAAGUAAACACGAUCAUUUUCGGUAAUUCACCACAUUCGGCCAAGAGAAUAUAAGUAGAUCUUUAUAUGUUUUCUUAUAUGACGUCAUUCGGAGGUUAUUAUCACUCGCGUUUUUCAACAAUGUUUUCAAAUAGAAAUAAUUUUUCAUUCAACAUUUUCAAUUCUAAAAUUGUUUUGACAGUUCAUUGUCCCAGCAGCUGUGUCGAUGCGACUACCUGUAUUCUUCUACCAUGACGUAAACGCAGAAUCAUAUUAGAACAACAAGGUAGCCCUAUUAAGCCAGCUGCUGGAAACAUGAUAUGUGUUGCGUGGUGGGCACUAUUUAAUUUUUAAUUGAUGUUUUUUUAGCUAACAUCCGCGACGUGCAAACCGCAGCAACCCGUGUUUAAAAAAUGAAGCGGAAAUGUUCUGUCCCAAUGGUAAUUAGAAUUGCCACCACUGCCAGUGUUGUAUUUGGAUCGAUUAUUUGGUAGAUAAAUUAAUCGAAAAUACAACCUGCGAUAUUGUAAGGGCUCGUUAGGUCGGUAUCAUAAAGAAGGUAAAUGUCAGGAAAAAUUAAGGAAAAGCCGAAAAGCGGAAAAAUGCCGCGUCAUUCCCGUAGGUAUAAAAGGGGGAAAAAGGAAAACGCGCCCUUAUUAUUCAAGUGGUGCGACAGUAAAAUAGUGGUCAUAAAAGCAAUAAAAGCCUCGAUAUUUAUUUUAUUAUUUAUGGUGAAGGCGUUAGUAAUUGAUUUGUUUCGCCAAAAUAAUUUAAAUUUCUCGAGGGUAUCAACUGGCCUCCUCGGCGAACAAAAGCGGAGAGGUCAGCCCAUCUUUGACGGCCACAGCAACCACCACAACGCAAAAUUGAGGCCCCAGCAGCCGCCUCCAUAACACCAAUUUCCUUGAUCCAUGAUAUCCGGGUUCUGCCUUAUCCCGGUGGACGAGGUCGCGGAAGAGUGAUCCUGGAAAAGAACAAAGCAGGUUGUACUAAAGAAUGCAAAAAGCCAGGUAACAAAGUUAUUUAUUAAACUUACCGCUUGUUUGAUACAACCACUGGCAUAAAAUAAAAACCAGAACCAGGAGGGAGACCCUGCAACAGAAAAAAGGAGAAAUUCCAUUAAAUAAAAUUUUAAGAAAAAGCAAAAGGCAGAAAAAUUCAUAUAAAUUAAGAGAAAGAACUAAUAUAAUAUUCAAAUUUUUAGUUAAGAUAAUAUAUUUAGGUUAAGUUGUGUUGUCUAAGUUUAUUAUUUGUGUUUUUUUUUUUGUGUCCAGCAUAAAUGUUCUUGUUUUUGUGAGGGACAUUAACUAUUCUAAAUUUUAUAAGUAAAUUGGAGUGUAGGGUUACCCCAAAUUACUUUGAGUGUUAUAAUCAAGAUUUUUUUUUUGAGGUUCCGUUGAAGAUUGUGGACCAGUUUGCGGGUCCCUCACCACCUAAGAGAGCUCGUUUAGGCAGGUACUAAUUGCAUAACUUAGAAAGUCCAAAAUUUGGUGACAUUUAGUUGACUGAAGUAAUGAAGGGUGGUCUGAUAUAUAUGAACUCCUCAAACAAUGACUAAGAGAUCCUGAUAGUUAAUGUUUCAAAUUUCAGCUUGUUUGUUCUAUUUUAAGGAAAUCUUAUAUAUUAAUAAAUUGUUCGUAAUAUGAUUGUUUGUGUAAU